rnacentral:lncRNA from 8 species
GUAUAAAAUGACUAAUGCCACAACAUUCUCUGAUCUUUUCAAGAACAACGCUUCUUGUACUCAAUUAACUAUGUGAACCAGUUCAGAUUCUUAGAACCAAAACGAGGGCGUGAAAUUAUUCUCGGUGUGAAUGAAACUUGAAAAAUGAGGUAUAUUUCUUAGAAUGAUUCAAAUGAGAAAAGCUUUUGGAACAUUUUACCUCGAGUACAGAUGAUGUUUUCGGUAAUGCUUUAGCUUCAAUAACAAGAAAAAGAGAUUAAGGUACUCUGUCAAUUAAGUGAGAGGGAUGCUUAUCCGUGUGAUCGCUAUUCACCUCCUCUCUCUUAACCGCGGCAUCGCCAGGCCCACACCGCCUCCAUUUGGAUGCUACUGUUUUCGGUUCCUCUGCUUUAAUCAAAUGUAGUGCUCUUACGGCAUAUUUGACCAAAAAUUCCAUUGACAGUUGGUGCAUUUAUUUACUCCUUUUUACAUAACACAGUGGUAUUGCUAAUUAGCAUACAGAUAAAACUAGUCUAAAUAAAUCCCCAACGCUGAUAGUCCGCCAGGUAGCUAACAUCAUUUGAGAACUUCAUAAACACACAAACAAAGAACUUCGACAUAUCAACAUUUCAAGCCACACUCAAUGUGCUGCCCAUCUCUGUCGUGGCCUGAUUUGGAGAUUGGAGGCAGAUUGCAUCCUUAUUUAAAAGGUAACCCACCUCGUGAUUAUGUGAGUGGCCAGCCUCCCUAUCUCCAAAACACAGCUGUUGGGGAAGCAUUCAGCAUUAAUCAAUAGAACCGCGCGCGAUUUCCCAGCCCGUUCUGUUCUCUGCAUGUAAAUAACCGCUCGAGCUCUGCCCAUGAUAGCGCGACUGUGAUGCCCUUAAUUUCGUAUCCUAUUCAUUCCAUUUAACAGCUCCUCUCCAAAUCAAGCCAUAUCGACCACAGACGUGAUGGAAAAAGGGGGAAUGCAGCCUCAGCAAAUCCAACUCCUUUCUUUUAUGACCCAUUGGCGAGGGCAUCUGGAUGUCUCUCUGAUCCCUCAUUUUCUAAUGUCCUGGCAAAGCCCCCCAGAUGUUUAUCAGUCUUAUAUUCAGACAGGCCGCCAUCUCAAACAAACCCAC